GGGUACUAAACUGCCCAUGUUCGCAUAAAUGUCCCAUAUGCAAAAACAGCAAGCUGAGAAAAACGCAUUUGAAGUUUGUCCCAUACAUAAGGCUACGUGUUAAGUUUUCGCGAAAAAACUGGAUUUCCUCCUGAAUUCUAGAACAAAGUACUGGAUGUUAUAGGCUCUUUCGAAAGAGCACACGAUUUUGAACCAAACUGCAUCAAUAACUCGAAAUCGAUGAAAAUGCAUAUGGGACAUUUAUGCGAUCAGGGGCAGUAAAGCCCUAUGUCAAUUUUUAUGUACAACGUUAAAAAACACGAUUAACGGUACACUUCAACCAUAGCCUUUGCACCCAGAUAUUUUUUACAUACAUUUUAGUAUUUUCAAUACUACGGGAACUAUCGAUAUAAUUUUUUAUUCAUCCCCUAAAUUACUGUCUUCGUAGUUACAUACAACAAAGUUUGACUAUUUUUACAAUCAGAUUCAUGCAGGAUUGGGUCCGUAAGUUUGACAAUUUUAGGAUAAGAAGACAACAACUUCCUUGGUUGCUGUGCACCCUUAAAACCUUUUUUCAUUUUUAUGCAAUUUUUUUUUUGACAAGACAACAUUUUUUCGAUGGAAUGACUAUGGUCCCCUUGUAACGAGCUGUCAAGUAGGAGCUUUUCUGUCAAGAAGGACCGCGAGGUUAAUUUUUCAAAAUUGAUUUAAAAAUCCAUUUUAAACUCUUUGUGGUCGUACAAAGGGUCAUUGUACUCAGAAAAAUAAGCUUUAUCGCUGUAAACAAUAAUAUCAGCAAUCUAAGCUUCAUUUUAGGACCCAAUUGUUGAUGGAUUUCUAACAGAAGAAAAGCAAGUUGGUCCAUUCGGGUAUAAAACCGAAUAAAGACCAGAAGUGCAAUCUCUGAAUAGAAUUUUACCAUUGGAAUUUACUUUUGAAUUAUUCCAAGAUUGGUGUUUGGCAUUAAAAUCACUGAUGAUCAAAAAUCGAGAUCUAUGUCGAGUAAGUUUAUUCAAAUCCCCUUUGAAAAAUUUUUUAUUUUCCCCAGUGCAUUGGAAUGGCAAAUAUGCAGCUGCAAUCAUAAUUUUCCCAAAAGAAGUUUCAAGUUCAAUGCCCAAACUUUCAAUAACUUUUAACUUAAAGUCACGUAACGUGCUAUAAGUCAUACUACGGUGGAUAACUAUUGCAACUCCACCGCCAUUUCGAUUCAUUCUGUUAUUGGUUAUAACUUUAUAAUCUGGAUCACUUUUCAAAUAAGUGCCAGUUUUUAAAAAUGUUUCGGUUAUAACAGCAACAUGCACGUUAUGAACUCGUAAAAAGUUGAAGCAGAUUCACGGAUGGUUUAACGGUCACCUAGUGCAACAAUUCUGUUUCGGGACGGCGAGAAUCGACCAUGAAUUUCGUGGUAUAAAAAAACGGAACGAGAACGUAAACGGAACAUAACUGUCGCGAACUGCUCCGUUCGGAGCAAACCCCAACGUUGUGGCCUAUACGAGACCUUCCCACGAUGCCACUGGAUGUUCUCGUCGGCGUACGUGCCCUAGUCCGGUGUUCCGUCUCAGCGGUCCUUAAUUCUGCGCUGUGACCACUUGAUGUGUGUGUGUGUGUGUGUGUGCAACCAACCAAACGGGACCACGCGGUCGCUUCUUACAAAUUGAGUUGUUUCCAUGUAUUUUAGAUUUUAAAUCCUAUACAUGCAAAUAACUCGCAUAGGCAUUUGGCAGGUGUUAGCUCUGCCGAGCUUCGGUGACCCAUUUCUACGCAGGCUAGCCAUGCGCGAGGUACUUCAGCUUGAAUCGACAAGCCCCGCCCUAAAGAACGUUUGCAUCAAUCGGAUUCAAACGUUAUUUAGCACUUCCGAGUCCUUGUCAAAUGGACAAAGACCCAGCACGUAUAUAGUUUGUAGUAGUAGUAUUCCUAAUUCUACCAAUCCAAAGGACGGGGGAUCGAACCCCGGUUCGAGCGACUUUGAUGUUUCGUUCAUGUUUAGAGUUUCAAAAAUUCAUAUUUCCUGAUCUUUCUCGUUUGGAGCAGAUGGGAAUCGAACCCAGGAUCUUUCGCUUACAAAGCGAACACCGUAACCAGUCAGUCACGGCUGCUCCAUAUUUCCAAUUGGAAGUUUCUCACCCGAAAAGCAGCAUCAUCCGUCAAACCGGCAGCGAUUACAUUCACUAUUUCGUCACGAAUCCGGCGACUUCUCGAGCCGCCUGCAUUUUGAGCCGCUCAGAAAUCGAGCCGCCAAUCUCAGCAAACGUUGCCUACUCCCGCCCCCUUCACUCACUACUCAACUCCUUCAACAUUUUCCUCAGCAAUUUUCACAACUUUACAACAAUAAAAACUUGGAAAAUCCACCCAUUUUUCUCUUGAAGGCCACCUCAAAAAACUCCGUUCGGUGACCGAGAUUUCUCAUCAAAGUGUCACUUCUUCACAACACCCAAAUCACAUGAAAACCUGCAAAAAUCCGUCUGAAUUCUUGUACCACUCAAAACCAUUACACUACCGAAGGAACUUCUUACGGAACUGUCCCGCCGGAAAGUCUAAAAAUCGCGAACCGUAAAACGUCACGAUGAAAAAUUCGAAACAAGGAGAAACCAAAAAAAAAAAAAACGCGUAGCGCAAAUUCUUGUCAACCAACCGCGACCCAUUCUGCGCUGUGACCACUUGAUGAGCUAAAAAUGCAUCCAGGAGCAGCUGCGUAAGUUUAACGUGGCCACAUCGAAGGGUGAUUUUAUAAACACGGAAGUUCCCUCCCAGGUGAGGAACACCCGGACGCUGUUGGAUCCGCUGCGGCCGGUUCCCGAACUUGAUACUUGAUAGACCUCGUUAACCAGUGGCAGCACUAGCAAUCCCGUAUUGAAUCUGGACCGGGGUUCAUCUCAGGCUCUUCGUUUAGAACUGCCCUCGGGAAGAGACCCGUCGUUCCACUGUUAACCCCCCUAGAUGAACCGGCCGGAAGACCGCGAAUGUUACGAAUGCGACACAACCCGAACCCGCCACUACUUUGGGGGUUGCGGUUGCUCUGCUGGGACUGCUUCGAAAAAAUCCACCGAGUGGGGAACAUUGGCCAACACUUUCGUCAAACCUAUUUUUUUUCGCGACAAGGAAUUUUCAUCUUGGAACAAACGCCGAAAAACAAAAAAACAUAAAUAAAAAACACAAAAGUUACUGCUGCUUGGUGCGUACUUUGACAGUUCCAAGUUUUAGUUGCGUUGCUAGUGCGUUGCCAAAUUUGGUAACUCGCUCCCAACCGGGGCGUUACGUUUUAGUUUGGGAGCGGGGCGUUACGGUUGGGAGCGAGUUACCAAAUCUAGCAACGCGCUAGCAACGCAGCUAAAACUUUAAACUGUCAAAGUUCGUACCAAGCCGACGUAGCUUCUGUGUUUGUUUAUGUUUUUUCGUUUUUCGUCGGUGGUUCCGGGUUGAAAAUUCCCCGUCGCGAAAUAGUUGUGGAUUUAACAACAGUUUUUUUCUAGUGCAAUUUGGGACGACGGGUUUUUUCUCCGGGGCAGUUUUGUACGAGGAGCCUGAGAUAAACCCGACAUUGCUCGUGUCACUCCUGCAGUUGUUCCGGAACCGGUCGCAAUGGAUUCAACAGCGUGUUACCCAUCCUGCAGGACACCUCCGUGAUUUGCAAAUCACCCAGUCACGUAGUCACCGCGCAGAAUGAAGGACCGCCUGGACGGAACGCCGGACUAGGGCACGUAGGCCGACGAGAACAUCUGGAGGCAUCGCAAACAAAGUUAGAGUUUGCUCCGACUGAAGCAGAUUCGCGACGGAUUCGAAUGCCAUCUUGGACACGAAACGUAAGUUUGUUUACUUUUUCGUCCAUGUUUGGGAGUCAGCAGGAGAACCGGUAAAAAACGAGUGUUACGGGAGUCGGGUGGAAAGGCGACCCUCCCGAAAAAGGAACGGAAGCUAUCUGGACCAGAAAUUUAGGUUAUUUAAACGGAACAAAAUUUUGUUUACGCAUCCGAAAAAUCGUCAAAGAAUCGUUUCUCUGUACCAAGCCUGUGCAUCGUGCUGAAAAAUGAAAUCAUUUCCGGAUAGUCGUCUCAAUCAGAAGAAAUCCCCACCGAAGGAACUGACCGUGCAUAGUUCAAGUUGGAAUCACAAGCUUUUGAUGAAUGGGAGAAUGGCGGGGUGGGGAACCGGUUAUGCUCCCGGCGAUGUUUUUUCCGAGCUAUCAAGACGCUGUUGAUCUCAACUGCAGUAGUUAAAAUGCACCUGAGAUCACCCGAGGUGCACGUGACAGUGAAUAACAGCAUCACUUGUUCGCAGUACAUCCUUCAGGAGACCCACGUGAACCUGCUUGAAGAGUUCGUUGACAGACAGCUGGCACGGAAGAUGCUCGUGGCCACUUGUUUACUUCGGAACCGGUUCUGUCGGAUUCCGUAAACCCGGGUGCGGUCAUUUAGCGGAUUGGUUCGAACCUCAUCAUGUUACAUAUCAAAUGCCCUGAAAUUUUGUAAGGAAUUUUUUUUGACCACUUUCAUGACCAAGCCACUUGUCCACUCCGGAACCGGGUCCGUCGGAUUCCGUAAACCCGGGUGCGGUCAUUUGGUGAAUUGGUUCGAACCUCAUCAUGUUACAUAUCAAAUGCCCUGAAAUUUUGUAAGGAAUUAUUUUUGACCACUUUCAUGACCUACUGGCUACUUGUCCAUCCUAGCUGAAAUCAACUGGGAGGAUGAUGUUACGAUCGAUCCGGGUCCGGUUGGCCAGCAUUUGCGGAGAGCAUGGGUUCGUCGAAACCUGUGGCUCGCUCCCGGUCAAGCACCUAUUUGCGAAGUACCACGGAAUUAAGGACCUAUACGUUAAGUGGCAGAGUUUAAAAUAAGUAGUCCCUAAUUUCACUUCCCCUCCUAGACUGGCAGUGAUUUGACCUGACGGCGAUUAUCGAGCGGUAAAGCCUGGAAUCCACAAAAUCUCAAUCUUUGUGUAAACAAUUGGAAAGUUACAGGUUCUACUGACGGAUAUACGUCAGGCGAAGAAUAGAUUUAUUGAAAUCAACUCCAAAGCACGCACCCCGGAAUUCUUUUUUCAUCGCGUUGAACAUAACCUUGCUCAGCAUGUAGCCUUGACAGCUCUGAAUGCGGCACUCAGUGCGGAACUAGCCUUCAAUUGAAUGUACCAUAAGCGGCUUCGAAGACGGUGUCAGUGAUUUCUUCCAACAUUUCCUGUACCGAGGCCACCAAGUAUACGUUCCUGGUCCUAAUGUGGAAGUGUUUCGAAACAGGCUGGUUCUUCGAAGGCCACCGGAUUUGUUGGCGGUGUUGCUAAAAAGUAAGCCGGAACCGAUGCCAAAGUUUAAUCCACUUCUGAAACUGCUCCCAGUUAAAGUAGUUAUGUUGAUGCCAAAUGUUGGCGCAAAUGAUCUGUUUGAGGGAGUGUACACACUUGGUAGAGUAGAGAGGGGCAAAGGUACACACCUAAUGACAUUCAUUCGGUAACCAUUGAUUUUUCAGAUCCGGCCUAUUUACCAAAAGGUACCCCUAUCACUUGCCUACUAAACGUAUUACCAAAAUUGACCUCAAUACAGCUUUGUUUCGUGUAUCGUGAUCAAGUUCAGUUUUCAAUCUGGAGAGUGGUCAGGUCAAUUAAAGACCUCCGAAUGUUGAUAUUCUUGUUUCUCUUUCAAAACAUUGAAGUUUUGUACCAAUCUUGUCCGGUGGACCACAUUUCCGGAAUUGUCCCUCCUCCGGAACAUCCCUGGGGGUUACCGGGACAACCUGGAGAGUGGUCUGGUCACUCAGAGACCUCAACAUUUCGUAGUCGUGUUUAUCUUUGAAAAUCAUGAAGUUUGAUACCCAUCAUGCCCGGUGGACCACAUUUCCGGAAUUGUCCCUCCUCCGGAACAUCCCUGGGGGUUACCGGGACAACCUGGAGAGUGGUCAGGUCACUCAUGGACCUCAAAAUGUCAAUAGUCGUGUUUAUCUUUGAAGCAAUGAUAGCGAAUUAAAUUUAUUAUAUUUUCUUCAAACAACGAUCUCGAAACUUUUUCAUUAAACUGCCGAACAAGUAGUUCAGCAACCACCGGUAAGCUUGCCGGGUAGUAAAUUGCUAACCCGAUUUGACAACGACCGGUGUGGAACCGGGUGACUAAACUAAAAUAGAAGCGUUACGGGUUAAUAGAAUAGCAACAAUUUCCGCAACGCACCGGUAAUGAUGCUCUUAAUGAAGGUUCUACAUUUGAGAAAUGGUAAGAAUCGGAUGAUUAUGGCGCUUUCCACAGGUCAAAAAGUAAAACCAUAGACUAAUUAAAGACUAAACACUCCGAACAUUUUUUUCAAAAAAAUAUAACUCAUAUGCUGUGAACCGCGUGAACCACGUUGAACCGCAUCGGCUUACCCUCCGUAUGACAGAUUUCCUUGGCCGCACUGCCUUUUUUCGAUUUUGCUUUGUGCUGCUUUGCGCGCGCAUUGUAUCGAGGCGCGCAUCGUGUUUGUUUUUGUUUUCGCAUCAGCUGGACGGUUGAAUUUUUUGCUGCAGAACUUUUUCGAUUAUUAUUCAAACAAAAUGGGAAUUCGCUUGCUGUUAUGUCCUUGACUAAGUUUGAAAAUUAUCGGAGAGCACUCAACCACAUGCGUUCACCGGCUUCCCAGAUAAAUGGAGCGGGGUCAUUCGGUGGCCACUAGCACCAAAACAAAUUGAAGGAACUUGGAAAUGCAGGAACUGGCGGAGAAGAAACGCUCGAGGGAAGGCGCGAAAUGACCAGGCUGAAGAGUGCUGUUGGCGUUCCUCAAGGACGUGUGCAAGAAGAAGGCUUCCCUACCAACUUAGACCCUGCCACCGAGAAGAACCGCAUCCGCGAGGGGAAGGCACAUCCUGCGGCUACCGCAGCCAAGUCGUCGACUUAUGUGUGGGUGUAUGUGUGUGUAUGUUACUGAUGUACAUUUGUGGUUAAGAAUGAAUUGAAAAUAUAUAAAAUUUACGGCUUUUUGUCAAUGUUUUAAACAAAUAUGGCGUUUCCCAAGCCGUUAUGUUAGGACCUGGUUGUAAAUUCCUUAAUUUGAUUGUAAAAUGAUGAAAUGAUGAUUGGUCUAAUCAACACUCUAGACAUCUUUUUUUUUUAAUUUGAAUGAACUUUUCGAUUGAAAAUUUAAUUGAUACUAAACAACUUAGAGCUACCUUGGUUGGAAAUGUCCUGUAAGGUGGAGUUAGACAGCAUGCUAAUCAGGAGGGCUUGCGUCUAAGAUAAGCUGAAUCGUAUGAAUACGUUCGAUUCUACGACUUCCCCCGGGGUUCCAUGUACCGGAAGCUUUCACACCGACCGCCAUCGUGGUCAUGCAGCACCCGGAACCGAUGCCGAAAGGCCAUUUGUUCCAUCGGUGACUUAUUAAGAAAUCGACAGAAAUAGAAGGCAAAUUUAAAAUUAAAAAAAAAUCAUGGCCAUCAGCCUGGACAACCUGUCGGUCCUUCCGGUUCUCCGAUAUUGCUGGGAUGGCAAAUGCAUCCUCAAAUAAAUCGAAUGUGUGUGUUUGUGUAGAUUCACCAAUCAAAACAAAAACAACCCAAAAAAAAAAGAAACGUCAGAAAAUCGUCAGUGGAGCCAGUUUCUGACAUUUUGAUCUGUCAUUUUUGACAGUGAACCGGCCGAGCCAAGGGGUCAUAAAAAGGUUGAGUCAUGGUUCAGAUCCCACUGUGCAGUCUUUUAUUAGUCUAUGGUAAAACAGUUGCUUUUCUCCAUACAUUUUGACGAUUUUUCCCUUACAAACUUUAAGCGAUUGGAGGGAGGGGUUCCCGUGGUCAGAAUGAGCUCAAAUUUGGAAUUUAGUCUAGUGACCCAUCAUUGAUUUCAGGGGGUAGCCCCAAAAAAGUCCGGAAUUGGACCACCCUAUUGUACACCUUUCGAAAAAUUAACAUAAAUAAAGUUAUUUGUUGACAAAUCACCAUAAAUCCAGUUCCCCAACUUCAAAUACGCAUCCUUGACUGAUUGAAAAAAUAAUUUGGAUUGAAUAUAAAGUUUACUAAUUACUUAGUAUAAAAGUUUAUAUAACUCUGGAAAUUCUAUAUAAAACUUAUCUGUUAUCGACAUUACCGACUGCUGUUUGCUGGUAUUGCGAAAAAAAAUCUUGUCAGCACGAGGAUUGAAACAUCAACUUCUUAGUUGUUGAUCCGACAUGCUACCACCGCGCCAUGGACGCUUGUUGAAUUAUGAAGGACAGAGCACCAACAUAUUCUUCGCUGUGAAGUGUUGCCCGGGGACGCGCCAGCCUUAUAUGUGUUGGUGAGAACUGCAGAUCGCGGGCAAAAAUGAUCUACGGGCUUGCUGCAAAAAUGUUAUAAAAUGUAAUUUUGCUGCAGCAAAUUCACUGUUGCAUAUUUUGAUAUAUAUUUUUCCUUUGGGUGUGAUUCAGACCGGGUCCAACAUUUACUUCCCCGUCCGAAGGAAGCGUGAUCAGACAAAUCUUGUCUCGAAAAAUGCCAUCGGAUCCUUGUGGGAUCGUACCACGGAUCGAACCCAGGCCGACUGGGUGAGAGGCAACCACGGUUACCCCUUCACCACGGGUCCCUGCGUUAUUUUUUGUUUUAAUUAAAAUGCAACAUGUGUGAAAUUAGAAAUUUUCUGUUUGGUUAUUGGAUAUUACAUAUGAAAUAUAGAGACUGAAAGACUUAUCGAAUGUAGCUACAAAAUUAUUGAUUUAUGAUAUUCAUGUGAAUUGUUUCUUUCAGGACACUCAAUUGUAUAAACAUACCGAAUUGCAGAAAUUUUGGAUGCCAGACUCUACAUCAAUAGAGUGCUACGAUUGUUCGGCAAAAUUUUCAACCUUUCGAAGAAAACACCAUUGUCGCCUUUGUGGUCAAAUUUUCUGCAUCAAGUGUUGUAAUCAAGUUGUUCCAGGCAAAAUAAUCAACUGUAUUGGUACGUUAAUAGAUUGUGUUUUCUUUAUUUUGCAAUUCCAUUUUAAAAAGAGCCUAAACCAAAAAAAAGUUCUCCGAUCGGGCUCAAAAAUUUUCUGAGGAUUCCUUCGCCGAAAUAGACCGAGCCACGUAGCCAAGUAAUAAGCGGUAGAUCGGGGUUCAAAUCCCGGCUCGGACCAACACAACUGGCGAUAUUUUCAAUUCUGGAUUCUAUUGCUUAAUAAAGGGAAGGAAAAAUUGUCCUAAGGCUAAGCUUACACUCAGCCAAAACAACUUUAAAAUUGCAUAAGGUCUCCCAUAUAAACGAUAUCAAAAUUCCCUUUUAUGAACUCUAUAUGGUUGCUCUAUGAUUCAUUAUUGCUCCUAUUUAUUUUAUAUGGUGAGCUUAUGAAAUCUACCAACAUUGUAUAUGUGAAAAAUCUAUAUGGCAGACCAUAUGAAACACAUUUCAUGAUGGCGAAACAAAUUGGACAGUCGAAAGAAGAGAAUGUCAAUAGUUUUUUGAAAACGUAAGUUUUAAUUAAUUGUUUCGUUUUUAAUGCAACUUAUCUGUUUUUUUAUGUUGUUCCAUGUGCAUUUUGAAUAGAAUAUAACCGAAAAUCGAUGAAAAUGUUGCGGUUCUAUAUGAGCAGUUCUCUAGGAUUUCGGUCAUUCGAUUUUUUUUGUAUUUUUUAAUCCGACUGAAACUUUUUUGGUGCCUUUGGUAUGCCCAAAGAAGCCAUUUUGCAUCAUUAGUGUGUCCAUAUAAUUUUCCAUACAAAUUUGGCAGCUGUCCAUACAAAAAUGAUGUAUAAAAAUUCAAAAUUCUGUAUCUUUUGAAGGAAUUUUUUGAUCGAUUUGGUGUCUUCGGCAAAGUUGUAGGUAUGGAUACGGACUACACUGGAAAAAAAUAAUACACGGUAAAAAAAAUUUGGUGAUUUUUUUAUUUAACUUUUUAAAACUAAAACUUGAUUUGCAAAAAAACACUAUUUUUAUUUUUUUUUAUUUUUUGAUAUGUUUUAGAGGACAUAAAAUGCCAACUUUUCAGAAAUUUCCAGGUUGUGCAAAAAAUCAUUGACCGAGUUAUGAUUUUUUUAAUCAAUACUGAUUUUUUUCAAAAAAUCGAAAUUUUGGUCGCAAAAAUUUUUCAACUUCAUUUUUCGAUGUAAAAU